rnacentral:ncRNA from 23 species
UGAUACGUUUAGAUCAGUCACCAUGUAAUCCCCGGAAUUGGCCGGGGAGUAUCCACCUCCGGACCUUAAUCUGGAUUCGCCAUGGAGAUCGGCAGCGACAAA